rnacentral:rRNA from 1 species
GUAUGAAUAAAUUUUGUUGAUUAAAGCAUUAGGGAUGAGUAAUUAAUAUUUUAUGUGUAAUUAAAGUAAUUUAGGUUAAAUAUAAAUAAAGUAUAUUAUUAUUAUCUUUUGUAUUAGAGUUAUUUAAUUUUACUUCUUAUGGUUGGUCUCGAAAUUAAAAGGUCUAUUUUAUUUAUUAGGGUUAUAGUAUUCUUUAAAUUUAAAAUAGGGUUGAUAUAACUACGUUUUUAAUAAUAUCUAGUUAUAUUUUAUGAUAUUUGAGGGAUAAUCUUCAAUAGUUUUUACGGGCUAGGGCUAAGAUGAUUAAAUUUUUGGGCUUUAAGUAAGCUAUAAGUUUUGGGUUUUUUAUCUUUUAUUUAUUUUCUUUCAAAUGACUGGGGGCCUUAAAGAUGGGUUAUAAUUAAAUUGAAAUUGAUUGUGUGAUAAUGAAUAGAUGAGUAAAUGGUUUAAUGUGUUUAUGAUGAUAUUGGGAUGUUUUUUAUGAACUCGACUAGAAUUAUAAUGAAUGUUUAUCAAAAACAUUUCAUUUUUGUUUCUGUAAAAUGUAAGGCCUGCCCACUGAAUUUUAAAGGGCCGCGGUAUUAUGACCGUGCAAAGGUAGCAUAAUCAUUAGUCUUUUAAUUGAAGAAUGGAAUGAAUGGUUAAACAUUAUAAUAUUUUAUAAAAACAAGUGUUGAAUUUAAAAAUUAAGUGAAAAUUCUUAAAUUAUCUAUUUGGACGAUAAGACCCUAUAGAUCUUUAUUAAACUGAUCAUUAAAUAGAGGGUUGUAUUGGUUUAAUUUAGUUGGGGUAAUUAAUUUUAAGUUAAUAAGGAAUUUAUUAUAUAUCUUAGUUUUCGGAUGAAAAAGAUACCUUAGGGGUAACAGCGUUAUUUAAAAGUAGAGUUCUUAUCGAUUUUUAAUUUUACGACCUCGAUGUUGAAUUAAAAAUUUUUUGUGGGGUAGAUUUUAUUUAAAAUGGUCUGUUCGACCAUUAAAUUUUUACAUGAUUUGAGUUCAAAUCGGCGUGAGCCAGAUUGGUUUCUAUCCAAUAGGUUAGAUAUUAUUCUCUUAUUAGUACGAAAGGAUUGUUUGAGGUUAAGAUUUGAAAUAAUAGGAUUAAAAAUAA